rnacentral:rRNA from 1 species
UACGUAGGGUGCAAGCGUUUAAUCGGAAUUACUGGGCGUAAAGCGUGCGCAGGCGGUUUUGUAAGUCAGAUGUGAAAUCCCCGGGCUUAACCUGGGAACUGCGUUUGAAACUACAAGGCUAGAGUGUGGCAGAGGGGGGGUGGAAUUCCACGUGUAGCAGUGAAAUGCGUAGAGAUGUGGAGGAACACCGAUGGCGAAGGCAGCCCCCUGGGUUACACUGACGCUCAGGCACGAAAGCGUGGGGAGCAAACAGG